rnacentral:ncRNA from 1 species
UAAAGGUUUGGUCCUGACCUUAUUAUCAGUUGUUUCCCAACUUACACAUGCAAGUCUCAGCACACCCGUGAGGACGCCCUUUCAACCUACAUCAGGUAAAGGAGCUGGUAUCAGGCGCAGACUCUUGCCCACAACACCUAGUUUCACCACACCCACAAGGGUACUCAGCAGUGAUUAAUUUUGUCUAUAAGCGACAGCUUGACCCAGUCAGGGAAAACAGGGCCGGCUAACACGGUGCCAGCCGCCGCGGCUACACCGCGGGCUCAAAUUGAUAAUUACCGGCGUUAAGCGUGAUUAAAGUUCUUAGAAACUAGGAUUAAAUUAACACUUAGUAGUUUUAUGCUUGUUGUUAAGAAAACCAUAAACGAAAGUUAUCCUAUCUUAUCUUGAAUACACGACAGCCAGGAAGACAAACUGGGAUUAGAUACCCCACUAUGCCUAGCCGUAAACAAUUAACUUACAUCCAAACCGCCAGGGGAUUACGAGCAAUGCUUAAAACCCAAAGGAUUUGACGGUGUCCCACCCCACUAGAGGAGCCUGUUCUAUAAUCGAUGAUCCCCGCUUCACCUAACCACUCCUUGCUCAUCAGUCUGUAUACCUCCGUCGAAAGCUUACCAUGUGAAUGCCCGCAGUAGGCUUAAUGAUUCACCAUCAAUACGUCAGGUCAAGGUGCAACUUAAGGAAUGGUAAGUAAUGGGCUACAAUUUCUAACUUAGAACAAACGAAAGACUAUGUGAAAUCCUAGUCAUGAAGGUGGAUUUAGUAGUAAAAAGAAACUAGAGUGUUCUUUUUAACCCGGCUCUGGGACGCGUACACACCGCCCGUCACCCUCUUCAAUAGUAUAUAUUCAUGUCUUUAACCCACCAUCACAUUUUAGAAGAGGCAAGUCGUAACAUGGUAAGUGUACUGGAAAGUGCACUUGGUAUAUUAC